CAGACUCUAGCAACUUAUAGAUGAAACCUGAAUGAAUUUUCCUCAUUAUCAUGCUAAAGCUUCCACGCUGGGAGAAGCUAUGGCUUCAUUACCGAAACUUGCGACCUACCUGCUGGCAUGUGUCACUAUACUUCGUAUGUGCUCCUGUCCAUGCGAUGAUGCACCCUCUCCCCUCUCCAUCACCAGGGCAAGUUCUGACUCAUCUUGAUGGAAGUGAACAAAUCUGAUCCUUACCAAGUGUUGCUUACUUCAAAAAAUGGCAGCAUCAUUCACAAGUUUGCAAAACCUUGGUGUUACGUUUUCAUCCUGCCCCACUCCCUAGCCUCCCGAACAUUCAAUCCAUUGCUCUAUUGAUUAUUGUUAUCUACUAAGUAUUUCUCAGACCCAUAUACCUUUCUCCCAGUUUGCCACCAGCUUAGCCCAACUAUGAUGUCAUCUCAUUUGGACGAUCGUAACAACUUUCUAACUGGUCUCUUAAUAUGUCAGUGCCUACAGAUCUAUUCUCCACAUGUAACUGCAAGAUCUUUUUAAAGCAAAAGCCUAAUAAAAUCCCCUUAUUGUUCUUGGAUUUAAAUCAGAUAAACAAAUAACUGUACAUGCUCAUAUUCUCUGCCACUAGGGAUUAUGCUGAGGUGAUUUGUUUCGUCACUUUAACCUAGACAAUUCCUAUUCAUCUUUCAGCUCUCACUUCAGCAUGAUUUUGUAGGGGAAGCUCCACAUUACAUUUUUUACUAAGACAGAUCACACCACCU
rnacentral:lncRNA from 1 species